rnacentral:rRNA from 1 species
AAUCAACGCUGGCGGCGUGCCUAACACAUGCAAGUCGAACGCGAAAGUUACCUUCGGGGAGUGAGUAGAGUGGCGUCCGGGUGAGUAACGCGUGGGUAAGUCUACCUUCGGGUGGGGAAGUAACCAGUCGAAGAAUUGGUCUAAUACCGCAUAAAAGACAACUGUUUCUAUGAAGUGGUUGUUAAAGGAAGCGAUCCGCCUGAAGAGGAGCCUGCGUCUGAUUAGCUA